rnacentral:lncRNA from 1 species
UUUAAGAAUGAUACAUGACUAUAAUGGUAUAAUGAAUAUGUGCACACGCAUAAAUUCCAUUGGACUCGGAUCAGCUAAAUUCAGUAUUCUCCAGAGGCCAACAGUUAAACCUGGACUUGAUGGCGGUUGUGGCAGCUAUACUGUGCAUGUCAGUCAUACUUGUGGCAGCUCGAGCCCAAAGGCAGCCAAGAAGAAACCAUCCAUGUAUGGAACGAACGUCUGCAAACAAAAAUGAAGCGGCUUAAUUCAUUCAUCGUCAAUGUUACAUCUGGAUAAUGGAAGAUUGGCACUCAUACAUCCAUGUGACAAAUAAACAUGAUGUUAGCUCAGCUGGUUAAAAAUUUAAAGAAUGAGAGGCAUGGCAAAAAGUUCAACUCAGCUGGUGACCCAAAGGGAUAGAUCUAAAAGACAAUGCAAUUUGUAUCUACUAUAUCAUCGAAGUUGGGUUUCAACAGAAGAUGAAGUCCUUUGUUACCUGGCUCUAAAGUCUAGCUAUGAAAACUGGACCAAUGUAACCAACGGCAAUAUGGCUGAAAUAUAUAAUGUGUAACAUCAUAGAAGUAGGGGAUGAUAAUCCACACCAAACGAAGGAGACGUGAGAGAUGUAUAAAAAGUGCUAGUUGUAAAGAAAACCACAAUUAGUUCCUGAUAAGAAAGCUACAGUAAAGUACGAACUUUGAAAAAAUAUCCAUAAAAAAUAUAUAAAAGAACAUUAGUGAGCUGAUGCCCUGCGGGUAUUGUUGUAGGUAAAACAGUUGUCGUCCAAAUAUGCUAAGCUUGUAUGAAUAAGCAUAGCAGAGAAAUGAGACCAGAUUCCUUUAUAACUAUUCAAUAUCAGAAAUAGAGCGGACAUUAGCUGAAAUAUUUUUCUAUCAAUUCAAGAUACUGAUAAAAGAAAUGUCAAGAACACAUGCUUUAACAGAUCUUUUUACUGUCGGCCAGCAGACAGAAUUUUUCAGGCUUGUCACUUUGGCAAGAUAUAUAGCGAGCUCCUCAAAAUAACAGCUAUCCAAGUCUCAAAAGGUUGAUGGGUGAUUAGUUAAAUCCACAUCGAGGCAUGCACAAAUAUCCGGGGUAGUACAGAAGCACUGAACAGGACAAACAAUAGUCCACGCGCUGAAAAUAAUAGAUUUAUUAUACAAUGAGAUGAACAAACUAUACUCCCAUGCUCUGAAAACAUAUAUAGUGAGAUAGUACUUUACUGUUCUAUUUUUCGGAAGACUAAUAUAAGAUGUAAUAGAGAUGAACUGAUAUAUAAAGUUGUAGCUGCAGGUGAGACAAAAGUGUGUACCUACAUCCUGAGGAAGAGGCAAA